GUUUGGCUUUGGUGGCAGAUGUGAAGGAGGCUGCGCCAUAGGCAUCCCCUCGAAAUGCCCGGUUGAAUUGGAGACGUAUGUUUUCUUUUCUUUUUUUCCCUUCAAAAUUGAAGCCUCCUCUUUGCUGAAUAAAGGCUCCUCUUGGUUUUAGUGUCUCAUUUCGAUGAAUUUUGGGCUCUCAAAUGUGUCUGCAAAAUUGCAAACCUUUCUUUUGUAUUGGGGUUCCAAUUUUCCGGGUGAUAAGUCUUUCCUCUUUUUUUUAAAUAUUUACUCUCAUGUCUCUGUCCAAAACAUUUUUUUUAUAGUACGUUUUGUGCAAUGUACAAAUAUAUUAUAGGAAUAGAAGAUGAAUCUGUCUUUUCAACAAACAGCAAGAGUUACAUAUUCUGCGAGUACUUUACUCCACCAGUUUUAGAAUGAAUUUUUUUAUAAAAACAUUAUCUCUUUAAACUCAACAUUUAAUUUUGAAUUUUCCAAUGAAAAUGACACAAUUUUUGGUACAGUUUUCUUCCGAUAAUUGGAGUAGGCAAGUAGCAAAGGAUAAACUAUCAAAAUCGUAGGUAGGUUACAGGAACCCAAAUUAUUGUAAAAUUUGAUUGGUAAAGAUUUAAAAGUAUGUUAGAUUGACAAUAAAAAAGUGAAAGAUCAAUUACAGAGAAAUGGGUGGCGCGAGUGGUCUUAAUUGUUGCAUGUCUUCCUUAUAUGUGCAUAUUCUGUCUAUUAUUCUCUAUUUCAUGAUUGAUUUGAUUAUCUGUUUUUAUCCUCUAGGUUUGUUGGGAUGUUAAUAAGGUUUUGUGCUUUUGCAAAAUAUUGGUUCAUCCUUUCAAUUUAUAUGAUAUGAAUGUGUCCUGUAGUAUGCGUAUUUUAAAUUUCUUAUUUGACGAUUUAUGAGCUGAAAUGGGAUGUGCCACAAUUUGGUACAUACAUGCCGCCACUAAGCUGUG
rnacentral:lncRNA from 1 species